rfam:Ciona savignyi cont_15294, whole genome shotgun sequence.
GGUGGUGUAGCUCAAACGGUAGAGCGCGCGCUUAGCACGCGCGAGGUAUCGGGAUCGAUACCCGGCACCUCCG